CUGGUGAGCGUUUGUGUGGGGUCCCCGUCCUGAUCGCGACCAGAGGGGAACAGCGCAGGCCGCGAAGCCGCGAGCGCCAAGGGCGGCACAAGCAAGAUGUGCGGGACCGACGGACGGACUGUGAGCGCGGGACCGACACACCGGUGGUGGGACGGACCGACCAGUUGUAUAGCAGGUGUCCGAGGGGUUGUGCUUGUGUAUCCGGCACCUCGCGAGUGCGUGUAUCUGCCUGGCGGGUCGAGGAUGUGAGGCUGAGCGACAGGUUGGGAUCGUCCGAUACGUUGCGCGCCUGGGUGCAUUCUGGAGUCUGCGCCUGAGACCGCAGGAUGAUGAAAUGUUUCUGGAUUUGGACUUUGGUGAUGGCUGCACAACCUUGUGAAUAUACUAAAACCACUAAAAGGGUAAAUUGUACGUGAGGUCAUCGAGCACAAGACCCACAUCUUCCUUGUCUUUGCAUCCCUGAGACAGAGCUGGACAUCAAGGAGGCACUGAAUGGGG